AACACCGUCACUGUGAGUGGAAUAUACAAAACCUAUUUUCAUAGUUAAUUUUGAUAGUAAAGCAUGUUUGCGAAAUAAGUAUUUUAAAUGUUCUGAUUUAAUGAUUUCUCGAAAUGGAUUUUAUUCACGCAUUGAUAUUAUAUUAAAAUGUUUGGUUAUUGAUUUUGCGUAUCGACUUUGAAUAAAGCAUGAUAGUAUUUUAAAGAUAAGAAAAGUGGAUUCAAAUGUGGUAUAAUUUAAAAUAUGAUUAAGAGGUAUGUGAAUAUAAUGAUUGUUUUUGAAAUCAUUAGACAGUACCCUUCCCUCCAGAUACAGUGAUACAUAUGAGAUGAGAUGAGAGGCCUUUGGGGCCCGUCUGAACACACAUAGAGGCUUUGGGCCGUGUGUUUGGGCGCUUUUGCCUUUUGGGGGCAUAUGCAUGCGGUAUGAUGAUUACAGAGAUACAGAUAUGAGAUACACACAGAUAUUGAGAUACAUAUGAUACAGAUGAGAUACAGGCCUUUGGGGCCCGUCUGAGUACACACAGAGGCUUUGGGCCGUGUGCUUGGGUUUUUGUCCUUUAGGGACUAGAUUAUGCAUGCACAGAUAUGAUGAGAUAUGAGAUGGUAUUUCCAUGUCUAUCUGUGUAGCUCCGGGGCGUGGCGGUACCCAAAUAGUACGUCAUUGCCUGUCCGUUGAGGUCCGGAUACGACGAGAUUAUUUCCCUGGGUACUUGUUUGGUGAU
rnacentral:lncRNA from 1 species